rnacentral:pre_miRNA from 10 species
UGUGACCAAUGGCCUUCCCUUUGUCAUCCUAUGCCUGGGCUCAUACUAAAGAGGCUGGGGAGGCCAAGGGACGCCCAGUCGUCACAC